rnacentral:rRNA from 1 species
AUACGGAGGGUGCAAGCGUUACUCGGAAUCACUGGGCGUAAAGCGCGCGCAGGCGGGCUGAUAAGUUGGAUGUGAAAGCCUACGGCUCAACCGUAGAACUGCAUCCAAAACUGUCAGUCUAGAGUGUGGGAGAGGAAGAUGGAAUUAGUUGUGUAGGGGUAAAAUCCGUAGAGAUAACUAGGAAUACCAAAAGCGAAGGCAAUCUUCUGGAACAUUACUGACGCUGAGGCGCGAAAGCGUGGGGAGCAAACAGGAUUAGAUACCCCUGUAGUCC